AGGCUGUUAGUCUAAGAGAAGACCUCUGAUUUCGGCUCAGACAAUUAUGGUUUAAGUCCAUAACCGCCUU
rnacentral:tRNA from 1 species